CCCGAAAUGGACCAAUGCGCGUGUUGGAUAAACCGAGCGCGUGAUGUGGCUCUGACCCACGUAGCAUGUUGCAACCUUUUAUUACUCGCGCCUGCAGUUUUCUGCAAGCAGUUGGUGCAAGUUUAGUUGGUUUAACUGUGAACUUAAAACUUAGAAUAAAAGGGACAUAAACACCUUAUAAACGUCAGUGUGUCCUGAAUUGUGUUCUAUGUUUAUUUGCGAGAUCCCAAGGCUGGAAUGAGUGGAAUAAUCCCAGUUCAUUGUUCUUGGGACAGUCCAUGUUUUCUCCCAGCAGAAUGUGCCUGGGGCAGUCCCUUUCCCCUUUAAGCUCAGUAUUUUUAGGACAGUUCCAGUUCUCUUUAAGUUCACUGUCCUUGGGCAGUCCCUGUCCUUUCUAAGUUUAACAUUCUUGGGCCAGUCCCUGUUCUCUUUUGGAAAACUUCGCCCUGCAUUUGCCAAUGCAAACAGUAAAUUUAACCAGUCAAGUUAAAUACGGUUCACAGGGAAUGGCUUUUAGAAUUCAUGCGGGCAGUGAGAGCAGUCUCCGGGCCUGCUCGUCUGCAGCCUUUCAGACUUGAGCUCUCAAAUGUACACAGUCAGAUCAAAUCAAAUGAAUGCUGUCUUACAGAAUUCACAGGAGCCCUGUUGUAGCUACAAUUUAUUGUAUUGCGUCUUAUUAAAACUUGUAACUUAAUUUUUCGGUUACUAUUCUACACCACUGGAAACGCCAGCAACCUUUAGUAUGUGAACAGUUCAUAAUGAUUGGACCCAUAACUUUAAAUCCCAUUGCAUUAAAGUAUUUUAAAGCUGAAGUUUCCUUCUGUAUCUCCUUCUAUUUUUAAAAUAUGCAGACGACAGAGCAUUAGUGAGGUUUUUAAAGUCAAAUAAUGAUAAUUUUUUUCACAGACAAUAUAUUUUAUUCAGUGUAUAGAUAAUUAUCUUCAACCAAUGUAAAGAAAAACAAAAACAAAACCAGGCUACAAAUGUCCACUGUCUCAUGCAUGGUUCUGUCUUCUGGACCAGUGCAGACUGUUGAGCUCACAUUACAUUACUAAUGUAACAAAAGUCAUUUUUCAUCUCACCACUGACACUAUAGGGAUCAGCACACAAGUAUGUAUCACUCCCCCCGGGGAACCGAAUCAUGGAUUUGGAGAAUCAUGAAUCAUUACGCUUCUAGCAAUUGAUUUUAAGCCCACUUGCACAGUCACUGCUGACUUUGAAGUUUAAAACAUUAGAGAGGGUCCCAACAUAUAAAUAUCUUGGAAUGGAGGUAGAUACAUUUGCAGGCUCUGUGGCAUCCAACGUAAAACAUUUGCAGCAGAGAGCGGUUAAUUAUCAAUUUAUAUGUUUUUAUAUAUAUAUAAACUGCACUCAAGAGUGUCCUGACUUUUGGUCUGAUGUGUGUGUUUCAAAACAUGUGUCUGAGACCAAAAGAAACUCCAGAGCUUAAUCAAGACAGUGAGUAGGAUUAAAGGAAUUGAGCAGUUGCCACUUUCUCAGCUCUACACUGACCUUCUCUUAAAUAAGCUUUAGUGUGUUAUCAAAGACCUCACCACCCUUUACAUCAGACACUUAAAAUAAGGAAAAGUACUAGAAUGGUACAGAGCAGAGUUUAAAUCUUGUUCCUUCUGCUAUAAAUACAUUCAAGAGUCAACCAGAAUGUGUUUUUGUGGUCAGAAUGUUUCCAUUGUGGUUUUAAUGUUUACAUUGGGUGUGGGGGGUACUUGGUUUAGUAGUUUUAUACUUUGUUUUAGUACUGAUGUGUGGAUAUGUGAAUAUGUGUCUGUAUUAUUGACCAACUGAAUUUCCUACAUUGAUUAUAAAGUUAACCUGAAUAUAAAGUUGCCAUUUCUGACAUACAAGGUUUUGUAAAGGCUGUAUGUUGUACAUACUUGUUUCCCACCUGAUACUGGCUUUACCGUCACUGUAUUUUAAUGGCCUAUAGAUCUUUACUUCUCAUGCAGGCUCCUGUUUGAUACCAUUGUAUAGGAAGGGAUCAGCACACAAUCUACUGGAACUGGACUGGUUGUUGUUGCUCAUGUUGAAAUGUAUUUAAAAAUUGAUCAAAAGAAGGUUGAAUUUGGAAAAACAGCCGAUGCACUGGCUAACAAUUAACCAAAAAAGCUGGCAGGCCAAGCUGUUUAUUUGGUCAAAGUUACAAUGUUCAUUGUACAUUGCCUGGCCCGCAUCAGACUUCUUCAAAAAAUGAGAAUGCGAGCCGCCAGUUCCCAACGACGCUCACGUUCUGUGUUUGCCUUGGAAACAGUUGCCUAUUGUCUUUCAUCGGGGGCAUGUAGCCUCAGUGAGUAAGCUGAUAGUCUCCAUGUCCCUGAGAAAUUGCUGGAGCGGCCCAGCCCUGGGAAAACACCGCAGGUCUGCGCCAUCCAAAAGGUUAAUUAUCUGGAACUUUCCCCGACCGAGGCUGAAGUGGAGCAGCCUGCUGACAGAGAAGAGCUGCAGAGGGAUGGGAUCAGCACGGGGGUCACACUGCGCUGACCUCUCGUUAACUGUAUGAGAUAAAGAGGCACAAGCAGGCUCCCCAAAAGGUUGACGGUGGACAAUGAGAGGUCCUGGCAGCUGAGAGAUGCUUUUAAGUGAUUUGAAUUGGCAGCUUGUUGGGCCCGAGCUGAAAGAAGUGAGCAGCUUUAAAUUCAAACUUCAUGCUAGUUGAGAUCUGAAGUCAUGAAUGAUUCAUUUUUACUAUGGUUUAUUGCUGAGGGAAACAGUAUCAGGGAGGGUCUCUGAGCUAGCUGAACUAUCAGUGAUGGGUAGGGGUGGUGGAACAUGACAUUGUUGGUUAAUACAGGGUGUCCCAAAAAAAUUGACAUCAUUUUAUAGUCUAGUAACACAGCCACUCCCUCAAAUGAUCUCAAAUUUUAACAAAACGUGUAAAAACUAACCAAGUCUAAUUUUCAAUGUUUUUUGUUGAAGAAUGGCGUUCACUAGAAAUGAAAAGGCAUGUGUGUUAAUCUGCUCAAAUACAGUCAAAUAAGAAUGUGCAGCAUACAUUUUUGAGAAAAUUCAAUAAAAAAAAGAAUCACUACGGCACUGGAGACUGUUACGCAAGACAUGCUACAGUGUAUUUGGCAGGAGCUGGACUACCGACUUGUGUCAUGUCACAGGCGGUACGCGUAUUGUGAAGCUUUGUGAAAUCAGUUAUAAAAUCUACAUCCCUCUGAAUUUGUGUGAAUUUUGAUAAAUAAAUCUUUUAUUGUCCAACAUGAAGCCUGUUUCAUUUCAUUUGCCCAGAACAUAUAGUUGCUCAGAUAUUCACAUCUCAAAUGACAUCAAUUUUCUGGGACACCCUGUAUUAUUUUUCUUAUUAUUUUUCAGAUUAUUUUUUAUUUUUUGUCAUCCGAACUCAGAAGACAUUUUAGAGGUGAGGAAAAGUCAUCCAACAUUUUAUCCUUUAAAUGUAUAAUGUACUGUGCUUAAUAUGAACCAGCAAGGUAAAAAAAAAAAUCUCUUACUAAAUUCUAGAUGGGCUCAUUGACUGUAAGGUGCUUUAUACCUUUGCAUCCAAAUUUCUCCUUAUUCAGCAGCCAACAGUGGAUAUUUUAGGUUUCAAAACAUUAAGUUGCUGCUAGGUUGAGGUUUUACAUGCACUUAACAUACACUCACUAGAUGUUUUAGGUAAAAUGCUACAUUGUAGUGCAUUGAAAUCCUUGCGUUGUGCUUGUGUGUUUUAUGUUUUAGUGUGUUCCACAGAUGAAUAACCAUAAUCUUUCAGAUGCCAGUCACAGUCACAAGUGUGACUGAAACCAGAAGCGUAACUAUUAAAUCUGAUAUUGAAUGAGCUGUUGUUCAUCAGCCUGAUACAAACCAUGUCAUAUCUUGCUAACCUUGUGCAUCAGUAUGUUCUAUUUCUAACACCCUGUAUUUAUGCAUUAUCAAGUGAACUGUUUCUGUAGCUCAUUGGUCCCAUCAACAAUGGUUGGAGAAACGGUGUAAUGACUAAAACAGGGACCAAAACAAAGUGAACAUGAAUAAUAUUUUGAAAUCAGAUUUUAUUUGUAAGACUGAGACAUUAUUGAGCAACUACAUGAGUUCUGCUGAUAUAGGCACAUCCUUUCCACAAAUAGGACAUGCUUUUUUUGGUCCUGCACAUUCACAGAACUUUAAUUCUUGUUUCUCUUGAACUUGUUUUCCUUCACUAAUGGCUGCACUGGUUUGGAAGCAAACAGCCAUUCACCAGUUUCGUAACGCAGAUCAGAAUGGCCACAAAUGAGCCGGAAUUCUGACCAACAGAGUGAUUGUGGGUCCAGAAGAAUUUACAGCUGCCCACCAAGGAGGGGAUUACCCUGGGCCUGUAGAGGAGACAGACAAGACUGAAGCAUCCAGUCCAGCCACAGCCCUCAGAGCACAUGGCCUCUGCCAAAUUAGAACAUACUUAGAAGAGGAGAGAGGAGCUGUUUUUAAAAGCUAAAUGGGAAAAUGCAGUAUCCUGAUGCAAUAUAUAAAGAUCUAAUGGGUAAACAGAACGUCUGGCCAAAGUCACUAAAGCAACCUUGGCAACCAGCUGCCCAGUCCAUAUUUCUAUUCUACUCCAGGUUCCAGUGCGCUUAAAUCAAGUUAGGAUGGAAUGAUGAGCUUUGAUUAACAGACCCUCAGCUAUUUUGUGAUUGGAACUGCUUUUAAAGGACACAAUCGUAUAGCAGCAACAGAUGACACACAUUGGCUGUAGCUGUCUAAUGUAUUUGGUUAAACAUGAUCAAAGCCAUUGUUAAAUACCCAAUAUGCAGCAUAUGGCAGCAUACAUCAACUGAAUAUUGUAUUAACUCUGUGUCAGGAGUUAUUAAAAACCUUGUACUGUUUAUGAAAUAAAACUUGAUAAUUGUAUCGGAAA